UAUUUGUUACCCCGUGUGGUAGACAAAUCCUAUGAUCCUAUAUUGAUUUUACCAAGGGUGGUAAGUCAAUGGUCCUAUUGAUCCUGGUCCUAUUUGUCCUAAGGUCACAAUGGUGUAAGGAGGUAUGGUAGGACUCGCUGGCCAUUCGAUGGCAGCCCAUUUAUUGUUCUACCCCGAGUGGUAAACAAAGGUUCUUAUAUACUUGUUCUACCCCGAGCGGUAAACAAGAUCUUGUUGUUGCAAAGAGGGUCAACUGAAUUCACCUCACACAUGACCGAUCUCACACUUUGGUACCGAUGAGUAUAUAUUACUUUAUUUUAUUUAAGUGUUGAGUUCAGUUCAUUCAAUUUAGUUAAGUUAAAUUCUUUCCAUAAAAUUCAAUUCACUUCAUUUCAUAAAUUAACUGUUAUACGCCUUAGCUGAUUCACUAUUUGAGUUCAGUUUAUUGAUACUGAAUUAUUGACAAGAAACUAACCAAAACAGAGUUCACAAUCAAGAAAAUUGAAGAUUCAUCAAUAAAAUAAAACAUUCAUUCAUUCAAUUCAUUCAUAACAUUAACUAAUUACACGAACAUAGAAGCACUGUCAAAAUCCACACAUAAAGUCUCAAAACAAUCCUAAAAAUAUAAACAGUUUAAAUAGUUAAAUUUCUACAUAGUCAGAAUAAAAGCAGGAAGGACAUUCAGGCAUCACCUUCGUCCUCGGAGUUAAGAAGAGCCGGAUCCAGCUGAGCAGCAGAUAACUUUUCUUUACCUCGCUCUCGGCAGUCUUCAUACCCCUCUGAAUAGACCUUCAUGAUUUCGGCAUUAAGCUCAUCUGAAUCCCUGUAUUCCGUUUGAAUCUGCUUUCGCAGCUCUUCGGUCAGAAGAGGGCCCCGUCCCUCAAGUUCUUUUAUUUUGUGACGAAGUUUGUGGCGCUUAGCCUUAUGUCUUCGCUCCUCUUCUCGUCAGUGGUCCAGUUCGGUAAAGAAGAGAUUUCAGGACCUUUGACGAAGAACCACUUCUCGUGCCAUCCCCUAUUGCUCGAAGGAGUGUUCACCAAUGAACGUCUCUUGAACUUUUCUCCCGACUUCGGAGAGUGUUUGCUGAGGGCCUUGAACCCCUUCUCUCUGGAUUGGACGAUCUUGUACACGGUGAAGAAGAAGUCGAGGGAAGGCUCAACGCCCAACUCAUGGCAGAAAGCAACAAAGGCCAGGAUGUGAAUAUAAGAAUUUGGUACCAAUUGGGCGAACCCCACGCCCAGGAACCCCAGUAUAGUCACUAUGAAGACGUGCAGAGGAAAAUGGACCCCCUUCUCAAGCAGGGUCACAGGGACGGCUGUCCAACUCUCUGGCCGUUGGUACAUUUUCUCACCGGAUCUGGGAACCCUAACCGCGUGAGUAUCCGGAAUGUGGUACCAAGAUCGAAUCCUCUUUAAUUCAGCCUCAGUGACAAUAGAGGGAGUGUUGGCAUGUGAGAAAUGAUCCGUAUUCCUAUAGUAUUCAGAAGGAAUUUUGAAGAUUUUUAGAGGAGGAUUCUUGUCGGUUUUCGUUCCUUUGGGGUUCGAGGUCGAGGUUCCUUCGCGAGUGUUAGGGUUUGGUGAAACGGUGUUGAUCGGUGUUACUAGGAGGGGUGAACUUUGUUCAGAAUCUUGGGAAGCCAUUUUUGACAGUUCGCAGAGGAGGACAGAUAGUUCAUAGGAUAAAAAAACUCAAAAGGCGCUCGAAUUUCAAACGGGCAGGUAAAACUGUCAAAUUUGGUGAAAGUUAUCUUUUAUACUGACGGUUACACGGUGUACAAGGCCGACACAUUAAAUGAUAGUAAUGAUUUAGAAUUUGAAUGGGAAGCGUCCGGUUCUGGGUUCAGAUAUUUAUCAGGCAGAGCCUUUCUGCUUUGGGCCUCCGUUCUCCUCUCAUUUCAUCUCAUGAACAAUAACCGGGUACAUUUCGAUUAUUUCUCACUAUGGAAUUUUAGUAAAAUAUCAUGGACCAUUUAUAGUUUUCUAUUAAAUAUUCCGUUCAACAAAAAACUAGGGGGCAAUGUUGGGUUAUGAUAUUCCCCCUCGUUGGGCCGGGUAGAUUGGGCCUACUUAUUUGAUUUGUUCAUUGGGUCUUUAUUAUUGAGUCUUAAAGUUACUGAGCCUAGUUAUUAUAUUAUUCCUGGCGGAUCCUUUUAAGAUCGGGUUGGAUCAGUGGAUCGGCCCAUUAGACAUUUUAAUAUCUCUAUCUUUGACUUGUGAUGAUGAAAAAGGAUGACGGUUGACUAGAACACCUGCCAUGCAUUAAUGUGGAUGGGAUCAUAGCCGGCUGGCGGUAGAAAACAGUGGCCAAAAGUAGUAGAUAGACUACAUGCAGUCGGCAGAACCCAUCAGAUCAUGGGGCUGUGUCAGAUAGUAGUGGGUGGCACGGUAAUCCGGGCAAAGAGAGUAUAACUUAGCAAGGAGGUCUUCACAAACAGGUACGUUAACAUUCACACUCAUAAUCACAUACAUACAACUGAGAAUUAUUAUUUCUCUCAAUACACUAGACAUUACAUCCUCCAUUGUUAACAUUGUGAACACGUAUACUGACUCUCACGCCUGAGCUAUCUCAUGACGGAACAGCCGUCAAGCUUGUGGUGUUUAUCGUGUUUACUGUGCAGGAUCAGGGCGUCUUACGUGAUUGGGAUGUGGCAGAAGAUCUUGGCGUUAACAAUGCUGUAAGUGAACAAAGAGGCUAGUAAUUUGUAAACUUGCAUAGUUUCUGUGGUGUUCAAAUAUAUAGACAUAUAUGUGAUUCUUUUUUCACUAGAAGACAUAUAUAUAUAUAUAUAUAUAUAUAUAUAUAUAUAUAUAUAUAGAGAGAGAGAGAGAGAGAGAGAGAGAGAGAGAACUAGGAUAACAGGCUUAAAAUACGAACCCAAAAUUUUAUUUUAUUUUGGUUUUUUUUAAAACAACUAAAUCUUUUUUUUAAUAUUUUAUGGAACUGAAAUUUUUCCAUAAUACAAUGUUUUGGGCGUAUUUUGGAUACCUAUACCAAAAAAUGUAUGUACAGUCUGCACAGACUGUAAAGACAUGUUUUGUUAUAUGUAUCCAAAUCACACCCAAAACACUGUAUUAUGUAAAAAUUCAAGUUCCAUAAUAAUUUAUUUAUUUUUUUUAGUUGUUUUUUAAAAAAAAAAGCAAAAAAAAUCCGAAUUAUGGUCCGGUCCAAGAGUCCGGACCUGAUCCGGCCUGUCUCUCUCUCUCUCUAUAUAUAUAUAUAUAUAUAAGGAAUGAUUCUUGCUAGGAAUUAAAAAUGGGAAAACACCAUCAUUAGCGUCCAAUACAAGAACGGUCGAGAUUAGAACUGAAAAAUUCACGUCUGUUAUUCUAAUCUCGGCCGUUGAUUCUUAUAUUGAAUGAUAAAGAUGAGGUAUGCUUAUUUUUUAUUCAUAGUAAAUACAUAUAACAUUACCCAUAUAUAUAUAGUGGCCGAUCCAUAGCCAACGUUGUCAACUUAAGGAUAACUUUACAACACAUCCUUAGCGUCCAUCCGAUGAUCUAAUGGUUUAAUAGAUCGUCCACAGUUUAGUUUCCAGUAUUCCGUAAUUUAAUAUUGUGAACGGGAUAAAUGUCCAAAAUACCCUUCUUGCAAAAGUCUCGUUCGCAGUAUUAAACUGCGGACGCUAAGUAUUUUUGGUCAAUUGGGAAACGACAUCGUUUUUUAAUACGUACCGUCCGCAUUAUUAAACUGUGGACGCUAAGUUGACUUUUUUUUUAUAUUCUUCCUUCCUUCCUUCCUUUCUUUCUCCCUUCUUUUUACUCCCCUUACUCCUAUCAUUCACCUCAUGAAAACCAAAACCACUCAAAUAUGAUGAACAUGGUAUAUAUUUUUUAAUAGAGAAUUCAUCUCAAACCAGAAAGUUUUCAAUAAAACAGAAGUCGAAUCUAGUCGCAUGAGAUUUGUCCAGAAGGGGUUCAUACAACUCGGGUUCUACAUCCAUUACUGAUUCAGACUCUCUUGUCACAAUGAUCCCAUCAGAUCCUUUAAUGGAUACAAUAAAAAGAAGAACUGAUAAUGGAAGAAUUACAAUUUAAAUUAUAUCAAACCUAAUUCAGAUUAUGUUUCUGAUUCUCUCUCAAAUAUCAAACCUAAGCCUUCUUAGAUAGAUAUCGUAAAUUGUUUGUUUUUCAGAUUUGGAUUCUGUUUUUUAUUUGGAAUUAUUGCUGAAAGAUCUAUUAUUUGACAUCCGCAGUUUAAUACUGCGAAGCUAAACUAAAGAAAAUUUGAAUUUGGCUUAAAACGGCGUCGUUUCUCAAUUGGCCAGCGUCCACAGUUUAAUACUGCAAACGAGACAACUAAAGAAAAUUUGAAUUUGGCUUUAAAACGACCGUAUCUCAAUUGGCUAACGUCUGCAGUUUAAUAUUGCGGACAAAAGACUUUUAUAAGGAGGGUAUUUUGGACAUUUGUCCUGUCCGCACUAUUAAACUGCGGACGAGGACUUUAUUAACUAUUUGAUCUACAGAUGGAUGCUCACGAUGAGUUGUAAGGAUAAUCUUAAAUUGACAACGUUGUCAAUGUAUCAGUCCCCUAUAUAUAUAUAGAAAAAUGUAUAUACACAGUUGUAUAGUGGUUUUUUUAGGUUAUAGCGACGACGGUUCACCCGUCGCUAUGGCUAUUCUGGUCUAUGGCGACGGGUGAACCGUUGCUAUAGCCCAAAAAAACCGUCGCUAUAAGCGAUUGUGUACUACACAGCUGUGUAUAUAUAUAUAACCCAUACAGGGACGGAGCUACAUGGAUGUUGGAGGGGGCCACGGCCCCCCCAAGGUUUGAAAUUUUUGUAAGAUUCAUCCCAAAGUUUGAAAAUUUUAUAAAAUUCACUUAUACAUUUGGUUUGUUUUGAAAAUUUUGUAAGACUACAGCCCCCAAGUUUUGACGAAGUUUUGAUAUGUUUUAAAAGACUUUUUUUUGCUAUAUUUUAUUAUCUUUGUCAAAGCAAAUUCUAUUACUAUAUUAUUUUUGUUUUAGUAGAAAUAUAUUUUGUAAUAGUGAAAUUUUACUUUUUAGUGAUGAAUAUAUUUUAUGAUGUUAAAAAUUUUUUUGGCCCCCCCAAAGAACAAAUCCUGGCUCCGUCCCUGAACCCAUAUAUAUAUAUACACACACACACUGCUGUAAAAAUAAAUUAUGGACCACAUUUUCAAGGUUAUCAGGGGAGUAGUUGAUGCGUAUCUAUAGUUACCUUUCACUCCUAAUGUGGCUCUUAAACUGCAGUACUGCACUAAAAAGGAUUUAUAAGCUAGAAUCAACUUUUGUGAAUAUUAAGCUAUGCAUGAAGCUGCAAAUAGGAUUCUGAUAAACCUCUUGGAACAUAGCAUUGAAAAUCUUGAAUCUCUCCUUCAAAGCAUAUUCUUUGAAAUACCAUUACAAAAAAUCUUAUAGUUCCUCAUCUCUGAAACAAUACAAGACCAUGUCCCCUGAUCCAAGAUAUCUUUGCUCAACUUUGUUAGGUCAUCCUCCUCAAUCAUAUCCAAAGACCCUUUAAUUUCCUCAACAAUAUAGUGGAUAUUAUUCAUGAAUAAUAAGAGGCGACUUCCUAGUUCCUAGUGUUUGAUUUUCCCUCUGAAUUGAAUUUCAAGUUUAUGAUGAUCCAAAUCAGAUGAAGUGCCAAUGGAGUUUGCACCCAAAAUUCCACAAGUCACAUAUUGGCGUCACAAAUUCUUGAACCUGUCUUUGGCUUAGGCACAAUAAUGAUUUUAGUUAGCUGUUCAAUGUAAUGCAAAAGUUGAGAAACAAUUAACAGAGCAUAGCUUAAACCGGCAAUUAUGCCCUCUUUAUGGUUUUGUUUAUUUAUGUAGUUUUUCACCAGUAGGUAUGAUGAUUGCUUUUUCAACUUCUUGAAGUGUUCUUUGAAAAUUGAGGUUUACUAAUGUUGAUGCAUUGGUAAUGCCUAGGCAGAGAUAAUGGGUAACUUCAACAAGAUCAUACUAGAUAAUUAGAUGCAAUAAAUUAUUGAAUAACAUUCACAUUUCUCAGGAAAUGAUGAUAAAAAUAUAAAGCAUACAAUACCCAACAGUGAUGAUACUACUGGUUUGGUGUUAAAUUAUAAAUCUACUAGUGGUACCUAAGCCAGUGCCCUUGUGGAUAGUUAAUUUUCCAAAAACAAAUCACGAACCUUAUUCUCAAGGUCCUUGCGUGAGUACUUGAUGUAUCUCCCUGGGUAUGUUUCACUCUUGAUAUGGGUCCUAAACUGCUCCAGAAACAAAUCAUAAGCAGGAAUCAAUUUCUCUAAUAUUAACACAUGAAGCUGCCCCCGAAGCUGAGAAUCCUGAACUAACCAUGUGGAUUGAGUCCGACAAACCUCUUCAAAUGUAGAAUUGAAACUCUUGAACCUCUCCUUUAGAGCAUUCUUUGAAAUUCUACUAUAAAACCCAAACUUAAAAUUCAGUCCUUCUUCUCGUAAACUGUAUAGGACCCUGUCCCAGGUUGAUCCAAGAUAGGAUUUUGCUGCCUGCACGACAUCUUCGUUCAACUUAGUUGUAUAAUUCUCUCCAAUCAUCUCUAGCAGUUCCGAAGACCCUCUAAUUUUCUUAACAAUAUAGUUGACAUUAUUCAUAAUGAAUAUUUGGCCCAAAGAUGCUUCUUGGUAGAGUUUAGACUUACCCUCCAGAUUGAAUUUCAAGCUUAUGAUGAUCCAAAUCAGAUGGAGUCCCAGUGGAGUUCUCCGCCCAACUUCCAAGAAUUGCACAUCUUCUAGAAUUCCCAAACUUUUCGAUGGCUUAUAUACAAUAAUUUUAGUCAGCAAUUCCUUGUAAAGCAAAAUGCGAGUAACAUAGUUGUCCAUGGCAUACCUUGUCAAGGAAUGAAUUAUGCCUCUGGGAAGUGGAGUGUUUGAUUGCUCAUUGAGCACAGUAUCCUCAAAGUUUGAAAAAAUUUGGCUCACCAAAUUCGCGAGCCGAUCAACAGUCCUACUUGCCGCAAGAUAAAUAUCUUCUGAUGAGUGGAACAUAUCUUUAAUCUCUGGCAAGAUAACAGACAGAGCAUUAUACAAAUCCAAAAUGUCAAAAAACUUCAGAAGUGAUGCAGGAGUAGUAGUUAUAGCUUCCGCAAAAUUGCUCAACUCAGUUGCAACAUGUUUAACUAUAACUAGAAAACAGUUAUCAUAUGUGACAGCUCCAACACCAUCAAAGAUCUGCUCAUAAUUUCGCUUCUCUGCAGGGAAGAUAACACGAUAGCAACUUUGAGCUGCUCGGAUCCACAACUUGAUCUUUGCUGCAGAUUCUUCCCAGUCUGAACUCCGAAAGUCAUUGAUGCUCCACUUCCCGAUGCCAAAUCUCAAAAACUUUGCAUCCACCACAGAUUUUCUUGAAAUCUUGUACACCUCAAUGCAAUCCCCAAGAGAUCCUGCCGAGUUUAGCCUCUCUGUAAUAUUACGGAGACGAUAAACUUGCUCUGAAGACAGUUCACCAUGGCCUACAUGAUCACCUUCCUGUAACUCAUAGCUACAACUAUUAGUUACUGAACUCGAGUAAAUUGUGGAACUCAGACCUUCAUUUUUAACCAUAGCNNNNNNNNNNNNNNNNNNNNNNNNNNNNNNNNNNNNNNNNNNNNNNNNNNNNNNNNNNNNNNNNNNNNNNNNNNNNNNNNNNNNNNNNNNNNNNNNNNNNUUUUUGCCCUCAGGAUAAAAAGUUAUUGCCCACUUGUACCCACCAGCCAUGAAUGUACCAGAAGCUAAAUAUUCUCCGAUCCCCAAUCUCUUGGUCCGCGAGUAGCCUCUGAAAGUAUAUGUAUGCGAGGAGGUUAUAAUGACCUCGGUGGAGGGCGGGGGC
rnacentral:lncRNA from 1 species